UACGUAGGGGGCAAGCGUUGUCCGGAUUUAUUGGGCGUAAAGAGCGUGUAGGCGGCCUGAAAGGUCAGCUGUGAAAACUCGAGGCUCAACCUCGAGACGUCGGUUGAAACCAUCUGGCUCGAGUCCGGAAGAGGAGUGUGGAAUUCCCGGUGUAGCGGUGAAAUGCGCAGAUAUCAGGAGGAACACCGAUGGCGAAGGCAGGUCUCUGGGCCGAUACUGACGGCUGAGGAGCGAAAGCGUGGGGAGCGAACAGGAUUAGACUACCC
rnacentral:rRNA from 1 species